rnacentral:rRNA from 1 species
UACGUAGGGUGCGAGCGUUGUCCGGAAUUAUUGGGCGUAAAGGGCUCGUAGGCGGUUUGUCGCGUCGGGAGUGAAAACCAUGGGCUUAACUCAUGGCUUGCUUCCGAUACGGGCAGACUAGAGGUAUGCAGGGGAGAACGGAAUUCCUGGUGUAGCGGUGAAAUGCGCAGAUAUCAGGAGGAACACCGGUGGCGAAGGCGGUUCUCUGGGCAUUACCUGGCGCUGAGGAGCGAAAGUGUGGGGAGCGAACAGG